UGGGUAAUAGCUCAGUGGUAGAGCAUAUGCUUAGCAUGCAUGAGGUCCUGGGUUCACUCCUCUGUACCUCCA
rnacentral:tRNA from 1 species